UACUCGAUGCUCAUUGGUACAUGCGGUCUUAUGCUAUGCAUAUGCAGUUAUGUCAAUUUGUGUGCGAUAGCCCUAAGGGCUAAUAUUUUUAAUAAUUAUAUUAUUGUAUUGUACAAAGAAAGAGAGAAUAUUUGUGAUUUAGCUAAAGAAUCUUAUAAAAUCAUUGUAAAAUAGGAAUAACAACUAUAUACAUAAAUAUAUAUAACUAUAUACAUAAAUAUUUAAAAAGUUCAAUUAUCCUUUGUUACUUGAAUUUUCAGUUCGCAACUUUUCAUUAAAAAAAGAACUUUCCAAUAAACAUUCGAAUUGUUCGUUGAGCUCUUGCUAAUUAUUUUGUAUACCUUUGCUUUCAAAUUUUUCUUUUAUUGGAAAAUAAAUUUUUGCGAUAUUAUUUUAGAUAUAUAAAAAAACAGGAGAAAAAGAGUGGAUAAAGAAAAAAGCCAUAUUUGUAAGUGUAAAUUUAAAAUAUUUUCCGUCGACUCACUGCUGUUUUUCAUUACAACAUCAACUAUUUUAUCAAAUAUCAUUUAUGUCUAAUAGUAACAUUUUUUCUGUGUGUUACCCAGACAGCACAAGAUCUCUUGAGGACGAAGAAAUGUCCUCAGGACUUCUUUAGGAUGUUCUCUGGAUGUCCCCUGGAUAUCUGUGCUAUUAGGGUUGUAUACUAUGUACGAAGAAUAACAAUAAACAAUAUCUGUCAAAAAAGAGAGCAUAAUUCCUUGUAAUCGAACAUAAAAAAUAUAGAGAAAAAACAAAAUAAAUAGUGACUCUUGACGCUUUCGAGGGGCAUCUUCCGGCAACGGACAAGUAAAGGCUGACACGAAAUAGCAGAGAUAGAGAGAGAGUGUAAUAAAGCAGACAGAGACAGAGAGAGGGGGGAGGGGAGAGAGAGAGAGAGUUCGGCUAUUUCGUUAGAUAGAGAAAAGGAACGAGAGAAACAGACAGUGGCAUAAAGCAAAUAAAAAAUGAACCGGCUAUUUGUAAGAGUGAUUAUAUAUUAUGACAAUUAUAUAUAUUUUAAUUUUUA